rnacentral:rRNA from 1 species
GUGCCAGCCGCCGCGGUAAUACGAGAGGCCCAAACGUUAUUCGGAUUUACUGGGCUUAAAGAGUUCGUAGGCGGCGCGGAAAGUAGGGUGUGAAAGCCCUCGGCUCAACCGAGGAAUUGCGCCCUAAACUGCCGUGCUAGAGGAACCUAGAGGUGAGCAGAACUGAUGGUGGAGCGGUGAAAUGCGUUGAUAUCAUCAGGAAUACCGGAGGCGAAGGCGGCUCACUGGGGGUUUUCUGACGCUGAGGAACGAAAGCCAGGGGAGCGAACGGGAUUAGAUACCCCCGUAGUCC